rnacentral:tRNA from 1 species
UUAGUUGAAACCAAUAUAUUGGUUUAUUACUGUUAAUAAUAAUUUAGAAAUAAAAAUUUCCAUCUAAA